rnacentral:rRNA from 1 species
CCCUUAGAUGUUCUGGGCCGCACGCGCGCUACACUGAUGCAUUCAACAAGCCUAGCCUUGACCGAGAGGUCCGGGUAAUCUUUGAAACUGCAUCGUGAUGGGGCUAGAUUAUUGCAAUUAUUAAUCUUCAACGAGGAAUGCCUAGUAAGCGUGAUUCAUCAAAUCGCGUUGAUUACGUCCCUGCCCUUUGUACACACCGCCCGUCGCUCCUACCGAUUGAAUGUGUUGGUGAGGAGCUCGGAUUGGCAGCAGUUGGUGGUUCGCCACCGGCUAUUGCUGAGAAGUCCUCCAAACCGCCCCAUUUAGAGGAAGGAGAANUCGUANCA